rnacentral:rRNA from 1 species
GACGAACGCUGGCGGCGUGCUUAACACAUGCAAGUCGAACGGUGAACCUCUUCGGAGGGGAUCAGUGGCGAACGGGUGAGUAACACGUGGGCAACCUGCCCCCGGCUCUGGGAUAACUCCAAGAAAUUGGGGCUAAUACCGGAUGUUCACCGCUUCCCGCAUGGGUGGUGGUGGAAAGGGUUUCCGGCUGGGGAUGGGCCCGCGGCCUAUCAGCUUGUUGGUGGGGUAGUGGCCUACCAAGGCGACGACGGGUAGCCGGCCUGCGAGGGUGACCGGCCACACUGGGACUGAGGCACGGCCCAGACUCCUACGGGAGGCAGCAGUGGGGAAUAUUGCGAAAGGGGCGGAAGCCUGACGCAGAGACGCCGCGUGGGGGAUGACGGCCUUCGGGUUGUAAACCUCUUUCAGCAGGGACGAAGCGCAAGUGACGGUACCUGCAGAAGAAGCACCGGCCAACUACGUG